GGCCGCGUGGCGUAAUGGCAAUGCGUCUGACUACGAAUCAGGAGAUUGCAGGUUCGACCCCUGCCUCGGUCA